rnacentral:misc_RNA from 1 species
AGUCAGAUGAGAACGGCGUGUCUAAUAUUAUCCUAUAGUCACUGAUGGUAACUGGCAACUGGUAACAGUCGGCCAGCAACAUCAGUAGGAUCGAUCGUGCAAAGCCAACUCAAUCGCGAAUAAAUAAAAAAUAAAAAGUGCUUUGGAAAAUUUAUUCCACAAUCAUAGUUUUUUAGCCGGUAAAUUGUUAAAAAAAAAAAAAAAAUACAGUAAAUAGGAUUAUUAAAAUUGAAAAACGAAAAAAAAAAAAAUAUAACGAGUAUCAUCAUGAUUGUGGCUGCAAAACGUGGCAUAUAUUUUUCAUCAUAUUUUUAGUGAGUGUUGAGAAUGAAAAAAAAAAUAUCUAAAGUUUGAUGGAAUUUUUUUUUCGAUUACAUAUUGGUCAUCAAAAUAUCACAAUUCACUGAACCUUGAAAUUCAGUGAAUCCAGGCAGUAAAGCAGCUCAACAAGGAGUUCGAGAAGGUGAUCUCAUUACUAGCAUUAAUGGAACAAAAACAAAAGAGCUUACCAAUAAUGAAGCACACAUACUUUUGCAAAACGCUAAAGACGAACUGAAACUUGGCCUUAAUCAGGAUCGUCUUGGUUCACCAAAACAACGUAUAUACAAAAGUAGUUUGCAUGAAAAAACAUCAAUUGAAACAUUCCACAAAAGCACGAAAACAUUAACAACCUCAGCGUUACGAACGACAUCAUCAGAAGCUAAACGAAACGGAAAUGGUAAGUAAAAAAUUUGUAUAAUUAUGAAUUUAAUAUAGUGUUAUACUUGAUAUAGGAUUAACAAUAAUAACACCAGGUUUAAAGAGUCGUGUUUAAUGAAUGAAGAUAAAACGACCACAAGCCUGGUGUCUCAUUUUUUUUUAUUUUUAUUUUAUUUUUUUGUUGUUCUUUUUGUGACCUACAUUCAAGUGUCAUACUUAACGUUAUACUUUUAAAGAUCAACUUGGAUUAUCAUCCUUAAAAAUUACGAGAUUAAGGUUACGGUUUCUGUGUAUACUCCAAGUAAAAUAGCUAUAAACAAAAUGCUUUUUUUUUUUAUUAUUGUUUUUUGUCUACACAGAUAAAUAAAUUCAAGACUUUAUUAAAAAAAUCAUUAUCAUUUUUUAUAAAAAUAUAUAAUUCAAAUAGAUUUUUUUUUUAAAACCUUGAUGGAUUUAUUUAUUUUAAUAAUAAAUUUUAUGGAAUAUAUAAUAGAGAAGAUUUGUUUCUAAUUUAACGAAUAAAAUUGAUUGUCAUCUUGACAGUAAAGAUUAUGAAAUUAUAUUUUACACGUUAAUAUAUCUAUAAGAUGUUCACAAAUCCCUUGAUCAAGCUUCAACACAAUUCACUUCACCAAAAAGCAGCCAAGAGCCAUAGGGUCCAAAGUAUAUGCAAUGAGAAGAAACUUUGCCUUAAGAAGUUUACGUGAAAACCAAUAUAAUCUCUAGCUCGACUUAACCAAAGAAGCUUUUAGUGUUUCGAUACUUGAGUCAAAAUUUUAAGCAAUAAAAUACUUAAGUACCAAUUGGCUUUUAUUAUAUAAAUGUGACCUAUAUUAUUAUCAAGACAACAAACUUUUUUUUUUACACUAUCAUAAAAAUAUAAUAAAGCUGUAUCAUAAUUUUUUUUUUAUUUCUUCUUGGUUUUUUUUUCUUUUACAACAAUGUAUAAAGAAGAAUAUAAAAUUAGAUUGAUAAAAAAAAAAAAUAGAGUAAUAUAUUCUGAUUAUUUAUUAUUUUUUUAGUGUAUGUAUAAUAAUGAUAAAGACCACACCUUAACAUUCAAAACUUCAUAGGCUGUCUUUUGUACAAGAACAGGGUGUGUACUCAAAUCCUUUUCGAGGUCUUCAGGGCGUUACUUAGGGUCAUUUAGUUGUUCACUGUCUUCAGUGUUGUGUCGACGACGAGUGCACUUUUAAACGAGUAUAUAAACACUAAAGUACUAAAGAAAAAUUGUAGAUAAAAAAAAAAAAAAAACAAUCCAUUGGCAAAAGAACAGAAAGAUAAAAAAACAAAUAGAAUAAAAAAAAGUUAGCAAAAAAAAAAAUGUAUAUAAAAGAAAAAAAA